UCCUCUGUAGCUGCCAAAAAGUGCGCCAACUUGGAUCUUAAAUACGGGUGGGACAACGUUUGCACCUGGACGAGCUUUCCGUGCGAAUGGUUUGCUCAAUGACCAAAGCUUCAGCCUCGAACAAAAUGUUUACGUACUCGUAUUUGUGUGAUUCUUGUGUAAAUUGUCUGUGAAAACGGCCAUGGAGUGCCUGGGCUCAGACUGAGACUCAGUUCAGAUACAGGAUUCAGAUUCAGAUUCAGAUUCAGAUUCAGGUUCGGCUUUUGCAUUUGCAUUUGUCUGUUUUCAAUUCCUUUCCAUUUUCCCACUAGCUGUGAUUUCGUUUUGCAUACGUACAUCUUCCGCUUCCGCCGCAUCCUCCGCAUCCUGACGCACCCCAUCCAGCACUAUCCCCUUCACAUCGUAUGCUAUCCUAUAUCCUUUUUGCCGCACCCACACCCACACCCUUUUUUCCGGGCAGCACACACCGAUGCUCAUUUCGCCAGCGUCAACUAAAAAUGCAUUUCCUGUCAAGUGUAAAAAGGAAAUGAUGUGAUGCUCUUCGGCUUUAACGUGCAAUCAAUCAUUGCCGUGCCCGUUUCCACCCAAAAGGACUCUCCGUGUCCUUUCACACGCCACACACCCCUUCUACUUUCAUAUCCUUUUGCGGCUGCAAAGUCAACGAAGGCGGGUUUAUUAAGUCGGGCAAAUAGUGUUAAGUAUUUGUCAAAUGUCAAAUGCCAAAUGCCAAAUGCCACAUGCCAGACGCUCCCUUUUGCCGGGCUUAAUGGAUCCCCUCGCAUCCUGGCCAGCCACACACUGGCUUUUAAUUGCCACGCCGAUAGGCAAGUGAUUCUCCUGUCCCUGACCCAACUGGCCCACCACCUGGCAUUGAGCUGCAGCUUCCGCCUCCUCAAUUAGAGGGUCGUUGCCAGAAGUGUUGACUAUU
ensembl:ncRNA lncRNA:CR44874 long non-coding RNA:CR44874